rnacentral:rRNA from 1 species
UACGUAGGGUCCGAGCGUUGUCCGGAAUUACUGGGCGUAAAGAGCUCGUAGGUGGUUUGUCACGUUGUUCGUGAAAACCCACAGCUCAACUGUGGGCGUGCGAGCGAUACGAGCAGACUAGAGUACUGCAGGGGAGACUGGAAUUCCUGGUGUAGCGGUGGAAUGCGCAGAUAUCAGGAGGAACACCGGUGGCGAAGGCGGGUCGCUGGGACGUUACUGACACUGAGGCGCGAAAGCGUGGGGAGCGAACAGG